CUGUUCCUACGGGACGCAGCAGUGGGGGAUAUUGCACAAUGGGGGGAACCCUGAUGCAGCGACGCCGCGUGGGUGAAGAAGCGCCUCGGCGCGUAAAGCUCUAUCAGCAGGGAAGAAAAUGACGGUACCUGAGUAAGAAGCCCCGGCUAACUACGUGCCAGCAGCCGCGGUAAUACGUAGGGGGCAAGCGUUAUCCGGAUUUACUGGGUGUAAAGGGAGCGUAGACGGCAGUGCAAGUCUGGAGUGAAAGGCGGGGGCUCAACCCCCGGACUGCUCUGGAAACUGUACGGCUGGAGUGCAGGAGG
rnacentral:rRNA from 1 species